rnacentral:rRNA from 1 species
GACGAACGCUGGUGGCGUGCCUAACACAUGCAAGUCGAGCGAGCGGCGGACGGGUGAGUAAUGCCUGGGAAUUGCCCAGUCGAGGGGGAUAACAGUUGGAAACGACUGCUAAUACCGCAUACGAUUGGAUUGCCCAGGUGGGAUUAGCUAGUUGGUGAGGUAAUGGCUCACCAACGCGACGAUCCCUAGCUGGUCUGAGGGGAUGACCAGGCACACUGGAACUGGGACACGGGCGAGAGUCCUACUGGAGGCAGCAGUGGUGAAUAUUGCACAAUGGGGGAAAGCCUGAUGCAGCCAGGCCGAGGGUGUGAAGAAGGCCUUCGGGUUGUAAAGCACUUUCAGCGAGGAGGCGUUACUCGCAGAAGAAGCACCGGCUAACUCCGUGCCAGCAGCCGCGGUAAUAC